UACGUAGGGUGCAAGCGUUGUCCGGAAUUAUUGGGCGUAAAGAGCUCGUAGGCGGUUUGUCGCGUCUGCUGUGAAAACUCGGGGCUUAACUCCGGGCCUGCAGUGGGUACGGGUAGACUAGAGUGCGGUAGGGGAGACUGGAAUUCCUGGUGUAGCGGUGAAAUGCGUAGAGAUCGGAAAGAACACCAACGGCGAAAGCACUCUGCUGGGCCGACACUGACACUGAGAGACGAAAGCUAGGGGAGCGAAUGGG
rnacentral:rRNA from 1 species